CGUCGCAUCCUGGGGCUGGAGUCGGUCCCAAGGGUUGGGCUGUUCGCCCAUUAAAGCGGUACGCGAGCUGGGUUUAGAACGUCGUGAGACAGUUCGGUCCCUAUCCGCUGUGCGCGUAGGAAUAUUGAGAAGGGCUGUCCCUAGUACGAGAGGACCGGGACGGACGAACCUCUGGUGUGCCAGUUGUUCUGCCAAGGGCAUGGCUGGUUGGCUACGUUCGGGAGGGAUAACCGCUGAAAGCAUCUAAGCGGGAAGCCUGCUUCGAGAUGAGUAUUCCCACCUCCUUGAGAGGGUAAGGCUCCCAGUAGACGACUGGGUUGAUAGGCCGGAUAUGGAAGCCCUGUAAGGGGUGGAGUUGACCGGUACUAAUAGGCCGAGGGCUUGUCCUCAGUUG
rnacentral:rRNA from 1 species